rnacentral:pre_miRNA from 1 species
UUUUUAGUAUCAGUAUGUCCCAUACAGUAUUGGGGACAUACUGAUGCUAAAA